rnacentral:lncRNA from 1 species
GAAGAUAAAACAGACAUCCAAAAACGGCAGAUAAAGGACCUAGAAGAAAAGUUUCUGUUUCUAUUCUUGUUCUUCUCUCUUGCCUUCAUUCUAUGGCCUUGAUGUCAAGGUGCCUCUUAAAGAAAAAUCAAGAACUUGGAUCAUACCCCAAGAAGGCAAAUGCUUUUAAACCUUCAAAGAUGGCAAAAUUGUUUACACCGAUGUAAGGGAAAUCAAAAGCUAAGAAUUACCCUGUAGCCAAGACUAUGAGCUUUAAAGCCAUUAUUCAAGGUUUCUUACUUGACAGUUUAUAAUGACCCUGUUGAAAAAUCUACAUUAUAUGCUGCAAUUAAUGAAACGUGUGUAUGUCAAACCGGAAGAGAACUAUAAACAUAUAUUGUGGGAAGGAAAAUUUCAGCAGUGGAACCAGUUUCAGCAGAUCAAAAGAAGAUGUGUCUUGGGCAUGGAACCAAAGUUACAAUGAACCAUUCAACUCCUGCUGUGCAGGGGGGGUCAUUUUAAUGUAACACCACACCCCAUGGAAACACUAUUCCUGAAAAUAAACAUCAUUUUAAAAAAAAACAAAACAAACAAAAGUGAAAAAAAAACCAACUUAAGGGUGGGCGGGUAAUGAAGCACGAGGAAUAAUACCUAUGAGGAACUAUUUACAAUAAAAUGUUUCAUUUG